rnacentral:tRNA from 1 species
GGUUCUAGAAGCGAUAAAAAUUUAAUAGCAGCAGAUUCUUACUCUGUAGGUGGAUAAUUUAAUUAAUCCCUGAGCCA